CAGCAAUAUAUAUCAUACUGAUGCCAUGGAAUUUCAAAGUGAUUGUUGCGAAAAGGAUGUUGCAGCUUUGAAAAACACUAACUUUUGACCAGGUUGUGAAACUGAUGAGGCAAGGACUUGUAUCUCUCUCUCUCCUGCUUUCUCAAUGAAACCCCCCCCCACACACACACACACACACACACACAAACUGGUUUAAGUCAGCUCCCCAUCCCUGGUCUGUCCUCGGUAAGGGCCUGUCCCCUAGUCUGUCCACAGUAAGGUCUUCUCCCCAGGUCUGUCCAAAGUAAGGUCCUGUCCCCUAGUCUUUUUUUUUUUUUUACCUUUAUUUUACUAGGCAAGUCAGUUAAGAACAAAUUCUUAUUUUCAAUGACGGCCUAGGAACAAUGGGUUAACUGCCUGUUCAAGGGCAGCACGACAGAUUUGUACCUUGUCAGCUCGGGGGUUUCAACUUGCAACCUUCCAGUUACUAGUCCAACGCUCUAACCACUAGGCUACCCUGGCCAUAGUAAGGUCCUGUCCCCAGGUCUGUCCAUAGUAAGGUCUUCUCCCAAGGUCUGUCCAUAGUAAGAUCCUGUCCCCUGGUAUGUCCAUAGUAAGGUCCUGUCCCCAGGUCUGUCCACAGUAAGGUCUUCUCCCCAGGUCUGUCCAUAGAAAGGCCCUGUCCCCAGGUCUGUCCAUAGUAAGGUCCUGUCCCCUGGUGUGUCCAUAGAAAGGCCCUGUCCCCUGGUCUGUCCAUAGUAAGGUCCUGUCCCCUGGUGUGUCCAUUAUAAGG
ensembl:lncRNA